AAGACUAUACUUCCAGGGAUCAUUUCUAUAGUUUAUUACUAGAGAAGUUUCUCUGAUUGUGUAGAGCAUUGGAAAGCACAAGGAGGAGGCGCAGCGUCCUCUCCUGAGCAUGACGCCAGCUCUUGGUGUUGCUUCCCUGUAACUGCCACUUACCAUUGAUAAUCGUUCUUGCUUUUCUUCGAGGGAGCAAGAGGGAGAGGAUGCCGGCUGAGUAGU
rnacentral:snoRNA from 1 species